CCCCAGCAGAAAGCUGCAUGGGGCAGCGGAGAGCAGGUAAAGACCUGCUCUCCUCUCCACACCGCUCCCCAAAGGUGCUCGGACUGUGGUUCAGGCACAUCCUUAGCUGCUUCUACAAGACUGCAGGCAGGAAUCUCUCUCAGCCCCAUCUUGGAGACGCUGCCAGGGAGGGAACUUGGAACCUAGAUGUCCUUCCCAGAGCAUCCCCAUCCCCGAAGGGGAGUAUCUUACAGUGCUCACAUGUAGACCCUGCUUAGCAAAGAGGACAAUUCAUGCUUGCUUGCUUGCUACCCCCAGACCAGCCCUCCUCAGGUUCUGAAAAUGCACUUGUCCGUGGCAAAAAGAUGUGCUUCCUGGCACGUUCACGUAUUUGACUUUCCCAAUUCAGAAUAGCCUGCGAAAAGGCGCCCCUUUGCAAGGCCGCUCCAAUCCUCUCUUUCAGAGCUCAAGGAGGGACUCACACGCAGAGUCAUAACUAUCGGGGGGCAGGGGGGGCACGUGCCCCGGGCGCCAUCUUUUCUGGUCACGUGCGGGGGCGCCGCCAUGACCAAUUUUUUUUAAAAAAAAUUAAAAUUUUUAUUAAUACAAAUGUUUCCUGCUCAGUGCAGCAGCGCUGCAGCAGUCAAAGGAGCGCGUCGGUGCCCCCUUCCCCAGUCAGACAAAAUACCAGCAGCUCUGGCCCCAGGAGAGAGAGUCUCGCCCGCCCGCCCCAGAGGAGAGAGAGAGAGACUGGCUCGGCCGCCUCAAGUAAUUCCUGUUCUCCUGCUGUUAGCACUCUGGCAUUAGCCCUGCAUGCCCCACAGCAGCCCUGCUGCAUAGUUUCUCCCCAGGGCUGCACAACUUCAAAAUCUCCAGGUCUGUGUGGACUACAACUCCCAUGAUCCCCAGCCACAGUGAUCCCCCUAUCACACCCACCUCUAAUGGCCUUUGGGACACGCCCACUUGAGAGCCCAUUAUGGCAGCUGGGACCAACCUUUGUCCUGUGCACGUCCCACCCAGGCAGGCAGUCCCUUCUCGCCAAAGAGGCCCAGGAGGCAGGGUGCCCAGCUGGCAGUCGGGAGGCACACUCCAGGUUGACACGCCAAGUGCAGGGCUGACUCGCCGUGUCAUGGGGUGCCUGGCAAAGCAGCCGUGCCUCCCCCCUGUCCCACAGUCAGCAUUUCCUGUAACGGGUUCUUGGAUGCUCUUGGCCACAGCACUCCUCAUCCCCAGCUGCAUUCGCCACCUCGCCUCACCCAGCAGACCUGCAGCCCUAGUUCUGAGCAGUGCCAUUUGGGAUGACCAAGUUCUGGAUGAGAACCUCCGUAGUAGUGGUGGACAUAAGAAGAGGCCGGUCUUGGCUGGUCAGAUCACAAAUGGUUUUUGGAAAUUUAUGCACUUUGUAAAAUAUGUCAAAUUAAAAAUGGUAUUUAAGUUUUUCCAGUAA